UCUUCAACCGCGGUUCCUGGCUUCCUUGGACAAGCACCACAGCAAGCUGAUUGAUAUCAUCAGAAACAAGGGAGGAACUGUCAGAGAGAAGACCCGGAACAUACUGAGAGUUUUGGAUCAGAGUCUUGAGGUAAAUCUAAAGAGAGAGUGCCUGCUGAAGUCCCUUAUUGUGUACCUUGGGGAGGAUGUGGACAAACUUAUCAAGGAGUAUCUGGUUGUUCAGAAGGACCAAGCUGAAACAGAG